CCUACGGGUGGCUGCAGUGAGGAAUAUUGGUCAAUGGGCGUAAGCCUGAACCAGCCAAGUCGCGUGAGGGAUGAAGGUUCUAUGGAUCGUAAACCUCUUUUAUAAGGGAAUAAAGUGCGGAACGUGUCCAGUUUUGUAUGUACCUUAUGAAUAAGGAUCGGCUAACUCCGUGCGAGCAGCCGCGGUAAGACGGAGGAUCCGAGCGUUAUCCGGAUUUAUUGGGUUUAAAGGGUUCGUAGGCUGCCUUUUAAGUCAGCGGUUAAAGUCUGUGGCUCAACCAUAGAAUCGCCGUUGAAACUGGGAGGCUUGAGUAUGUUUGAGGCAGGCGGAAGGCGUGGUGUAGCGGUGAAAUGCUUAGAUAUCAGGAAGAACCCCGAUGGCGAAGGCAGCCUGCCAAGCCAUGACUGACGCUGAUGCACGAAAGCGUGGGGAUCAAACAGGAUUAGAUACCCCAGUAGUC
rnacentral:rRNA from 1 species